rnacentral:lncRNA from 1 species
AAAUUAAUCCAAUUAUAAACCAAUAAGUAUAUAUAAUAUAAUAACUUGAAUGGUGAUUCUAGAUUCUGGUUUUUGGUUUUUAAUUUUUUUAAAAAAAAUUGAUUUAUUAAUACUUAACUUGUUAAAUUUUCAAAAUUAAUCCUAUUAUUGGUAUUAUUUAUUAAACUGAUAUUUAUUUUAGUAAUUUAAGUUUGUCUGGAAAGAAAUUAACUUAUAAGUGAAGUUUUUAAAAAUAGUAAAUAACUUUGAAAUUAAAUAAAUAACUAAUCAAACUUUUGAGAAACUCAAAAAUAUAUGUUACCUAUCUAAGAAGCUCCACUCAUACCAAAACCUAACAUAUACAAAUCUAAAGGCAUACCUCUCUCUCUCUUAAUUAUAUUUCAAACUAACUUAAGGUCAAAAACAUUUUAAGUGGUCUAUGAGAUAUUUUCUAGUUUCACAAAAGUUUAAUAAGUUAAGUAUUAAUAAAUCAAAAUUUAAAA